AUUGAACGCUGGCGGCAGGCUUAACACAUGCAAGUCGAGCGGGGGAAGGUAGCUUGCUACCGGACCUAGCGGCGGACGGGUGAGUAAUGCUUAGGAAUCUGCCUAUUAGUGGGGGACAACAUCUCGAAAGGGAUGCUAAUACCGCAUACGUCCUACGGGAGAAAGCAGGGGAUCUUCGGACCUUGCGCUAAUAGAUGAGCCUAAGUCGGAUUAGCUAGUUGGUGGGGUAAAGGCCUACCAAGGCGACGAUCUGUAGCGGGUCUGAGAGGAUGAGCCGCCACACUGGGACUGGAACACGGCCCAGACUCCUACGGGAGGCAGCAGUGGGGAAUAUUGGACAAUGGGGGGAACCCUGAUCCAGCCAUGCCGCGUGUGUGAAGAAGGCCUUAUGGUUGUAAAGCACUUUAAGCGAGGAGGAGGCUACUCUAGUUAAUACCUAGGGAUAGUGGACGUUACUCGCAGAGUAAGCACCGGCUAACUCUGUGCCAGCCGCCGCCGUAA
rnacentral:rRNA from 1 species